rnacentral:rRNA from 1 species
UACGUAGGCACCAAGCGUUGUCCGGAUUUAUUGGGCGUAAAGAGCUCGUAGGCGGUUCGGUAAGUCGGGUGUGAAACUCUGGGCUCAACCCAGAGCCGCCACCCGAUACUGCUGUGACUCGAGUGCGGUAGGGGAGGCGGGGAAUUCCUGGUGUAGCGGUGAAAUGCGCAGAUAUCAGGAGGAACACCAAUUGCGAAGGCAGCUCGCUGGGACGUUACUGACGCUGAGACGCGAAAGCGUGGGGAGCAAACAGG